GAUGAACGCUGGCGGCGUGCCUAAUACAUGCAAGUCGAGCGAACAGACGAGGAGCUUGCUCCUCUGACGUUAGCGGCGGACGGGUGAGUAACACGUGGAUAACCUACCUGUAAGACUGGGAUAACUUCGGGAAACCGGAGCUAAUACCGGAUAAUAUAUUGAACCGCAUGGUUCAAUAGUGAAAGACGGUUUUGCUGUCACUUAUAGAUGGAUCCGCGCCGCAUUAGCUAGUUGGUAAGGUAACGGCUUACCAAGGCAACGAUGCGUAGCCGACCUGAGAGGGUGAUCGGCCACACUGGAACUGAGACACGGUCCAGACUCCUACGGGAGGCAGCAGUAGGGAAUCUUCCGCAAUGGGCGAAAGCCUGACGGAGCAACGCCGCGUGAGUGAUGAAGGUCUUCGGAUCGUAAAACUCUGUUAUUAGGGAAGACCAAAUGUGUAAGUAACUAUGCACGUCUUGACGGUACCUAAUCAGAAAGCCACGGCUAACUACGUG
rnacentral:rRNA from 1 species